rnacentral:sRNA from 1 species
AGACACUCAAAAGACAGAGUACUAGACAUGAUGCAAGAGCAUUAGCUAGAUCAAACAGCUUCCACA